rnacentral:rRNA from 1 species
UAGGGAAUCUUCCACAAUGGACGAAAGUCUGAUGGAGCAACGCCGCGUGAGUGGAGAAGGGUUUCGGCUCGUAAAACUCUGUUGUUAAAGAAGAACAUAUCUGAGAGUAACUGUUCAGGUAUUGACGGUAUUUAACCAGAAAGCCACGGCUAACUACGUGCAG